ACAAACACAAGUAAAUUCGAUCAUACGAUAAAUGGCCUUGGCGCAUAAAUAUUUCGUGUUCCAAUUCUCAUGCAGUCCUACUUAAAUUGUACUAAGCGCCUGUUGUUGUUUUUAGCACAGCUUGUUGUUUCGAUUUGUGUUUUUCAUGUCUCUCCUUCGGUGUAAUAACAACAGCGCUAAGUUUCGUUCAGCUUUUCAGUGGCUUGUUGUUGCAUAAAUCGAAGUUCACAUGAAUUGUGUGUGAGACUAAUUCGAAAUUAUAGUGAUCCUCUUAUGCUUGCUUAGUACAUUGCUGGAGUUCGCGAACAAAAGAAGAUCGUGUGUUGUAACAAAAUUUUGUUUUUGAUUUGGUCAGUGAAUUAAUUUAUUUUAUAUUCGCUUGUUCAGUAUUGCAUCCACUACACUGAAGGCUGAAUUAAUAAUGAAGAAGAAGAAAAUAAAUUAUCAAUGUGUGUUGGCAACACUGCUGAGUACCAAAAAAAUAUGUAUCAGGCGCACAGAAAACCAAAACAGCUGACUAUGAAUAGCACAACGCAACGUUGAAAACCAAACCUUGGUGUUAGCGUAACGAAGGAACGAUGUGGCCAUUUGGGACAUCCAUGCUGUGCUAUUGAAGCAGAUGUAGUGCAGAUAUACUAUGAUGAACGGCGAUGUAACAGGCGAUCAGUAAUACGAACAUACGUGGCUUCACUUUUUAAAGGAUAUUUGGAAUGUACUGUUUAUUAUUAUUCAUUGUUGAUGUUAAUAAAAAUGUUAAAAAAUGUUCAAUGCAAUUAAUUAUGCAACAAUAAAUUAAAAUUCUUAUCAAUU